rnacentral:rRNA from 1 species
AGUGAACGCUGGCGGUAGGCCUAACACAUGCAAGUCGAACGGCAGCACAGGAGAGCUUGCUCUCUGGGUGGCGAGUGGCGGACGGGUGAGGAAUACAUCGGAAUCUACUCUGUCGUGGGGGAUAACGUAGGGAAACUUACGCUAAUACCGCAUACGACCUACGGGUGAAAGCAGGGGAUCUUCGGACCUUGCGCGAUUGAAUGAGCCGAUGUCGGAUUAGCUAGUUGGCGGGGUAAAGGCCCACCAAGGCGGCGAUCCGUAGCUGGUCUGAGAGGAUGAUCAGCCACACUGGAACUGAGACACGGUCCAGACUCCCACGGGAGGCAGCAGUGGGGAAUAUUGGACAAUGGGCGCAAGCCUGAUCCAGCCAUACCGCGUGGGUGAAGAAGGCCUUCGGGUUGUAAAGCCCUUUUGUUGGGAAAGAAAUCCAGCUGGCUAAUACCCGGUUGGGAUGACGGUACCCAAAGAAUAAGCACCGGCUAACUUCGUGCCAGCCGCCGCAGUAA